CUGUUCUUCGAUGAAGGGAAGAUUUUGUGAUGGGCCUGAAUUAAGUUGAAUUGCUUGUGGCAAUGGGCCUCAAUUAACGACUGAAUUAUUUAUUCGGAAUAUAUUGUAGAAAUUGAGGGCGAUAUUUUUUUGCAGAGAGAGUGGACCUUUUAUUGUCCUGAUUUGGUCCAAUUGUUUAGGUGAUGGGCGGAGGUUUUUUUCCUUAUUUAUUUGAUUUUUUUAUUGGCUGCAUUAAUAGUUGUGUUUUUAUUAAUGUCUUAGUUGGGCAGGUCAGGUACCUUAUUAAAUCAUUUUUGAGGGUGGAAUGAUGACAUUUUUUUGAGGGAAGGCAUCCUGUAGUUAUUGCGUUCGUUCCACUUUAUCUUCCAUUUUUCUUUGGACGUCCUAUGCUUCGUGUUGUGAUAUGGUCAUCGUGAUUUGGUGAGGUUCGUUUGGUCGUCGUCAUCGGCUUGGGGCGAGGACCAGAUUCUGAUUGAGGUUGGGUUUGCAGCGUGCUAGAUCAGGUUUUAAAUUAGAUGAUUAUGCCGGUGCUUGUGAUGAGACGGGGUUCUAUUUGUUGCACGCAAGGAUGUAUGAGAUGUGUCAAAUUGUCGUGUGUGACAAUAAUGUUGGUGGUGGUGAUGGAAAGUCUUCUACAAGUUUUUCAACAAAUUAUGGUCCCGGAGAAUCUUAGAAUCUGGAAGGAGAAAUAUUUAAGGGCAUCUUACCAGUCAAGAGCAUUUUUCUUCUCUGAAGUCAAAAGGAGGCGGUGGUAUUGGUCACAUUGUUGAUGACCAUUUUCUGUUACUGCUUUCUGCUUCAUAAUAUUCGAGAGUGACCUUGAGAGCAGUUAAUGCAUUUAGAGUUAACUUUUCCAUCUGAAUUCUGCACCAAUCCAUCUUUGCAAUCAAGUUUAUGAGCUGGUUUGGGCAUCUGUGCUCACAUAUGUUUCUGAUCUAAGAAUAUUUCAUAGAAGAAGUCGUGCAGGAGUUCAAAUAACAACCAUUAUCUGUAGUAAGGAUCUUUACUCCAUGGAAUCUACCCGACUGUUGGUAAUUCUUGAGAUUUUGAUAUCUGAUGGUGGUUAUUGCAAAGGAGGAUGGCGUUUUUAAAUGCCUAUGAUCUUGUACUUUGUUUUUUAUCCUUAAUGUGUCCAAAUCCUGACCUUUAAUCUUGCAUUGGCUUUCGUAAUAUUCUUUUGGCUGCUCUGUUUUUUAAUCUUAUCACUGUGUAAGAAGAAGUUAUUGUUUGAUGUGUGGGAUUGUGUGUAGUGGGUUUUAAUUACCGGAGUGGACGUUUGUUGAUGCUUAGUUUGCAUUAAGUGGAUUUUUCAUGUUUUUAGUUUGCCA